rnacentral:rRNA from 1 species
UAGGGAAUCUUCCGCAAUGGACGAAAGUCUGACGGAGCAACGCCGCGUGAGUGAUGAAGGUUUUCGGAUCGUAAAACUCUGUUGUCAGGGAAGAACAAGUACCGGAGUAACUGCCGGUACCUUGACGGUACCUGACCAGAAAGCCACGGCUAACUACGUGCCAGCAGCCGCGGUAAUACGUAGGUGGCAAGCGUUGUCCGGAAUUAUUGGGCGUAAAGCGCGCGCAGGCGGUUCCUUAAGUCUGAUGUGAAAGCCCCCGGCUCAACCGGGGAGGGUCAUUGGAAACUGGGGAACUUGAGUGCAGAAGAGAAGAGUGGAAUUCCACGUGUAGCGGUGAAAUGCGUAGAGAUGUGGAGGAACACCAGUGGCGAAGGCGACUCUUUGGUCUGUAACUGACGCUGAGGCGCGAAAGCGUGGGGAGCAAACAG